UGGAGCCUGCUUCAGAAUCUGUAUCUCCCUCUCUCUCUUUCCCCUAUCCUGAUCAUGCUCUGUGUCUCCCUCUAAAAAAAAAAACGAAUUAAAAAAAAUUUAAGAUACAGACUGUAUUUUCACCUACCCAAUUAACAUCUCCACCUAAAUGUCUAGCUGGUCAUUCAAACUCACUGCGUCAAAAAACUAAUUUCCUCCAUUUGGCCCACUUCUCAGUCAAAUAUUAUUGAUGAUGAUGAUGAUGAUGAUGAUAAAGACUCCAUGAUGAAGACUCAAAACAGAUAUGCCCUUCCUUCUAGAUCUUCUCUUUAAUUAGCAAUGUUAUCAGCUAUUCAUUUACUAAGUCCCAUAUAUGUCUCUAGUCCAUGACUUCUUCUUUGAUAUUCCUUUAUUAAUGUCCCGUUUUACCUUGUUCCUAGAAUAAAACCUAUUUUUAAGUUUAUUCGUUUUGAGAGAAAGAGAGAGAGAAAGAGAGAGAGAGAGAGUGAGCCAGCAGGGGAGGAGCAGAGAGAGAGAAGGAGAGAGAGAGAAUCCCAAGCAAGCCCUGCAUCAGCAGCAUGGAGUCUAACAUGGGACUUGAACCCAGAAACCAGGAAAUCACGACCUGAGCCAAACUGUCUAACCAAAAGUCGGACACUUAACCAACUGAGCCACCUAGGCAGCCCCUGGAAUAAUAACUUUUAACUGAUACUCACACAACUAUUCUUUUCCUCUCUGUGCAAUUCUCUAGACAACCACCAGUAGAAUAUUAAACGGAAACCUAAUUUUGUCACAUUUUUCUAAAAAUGGUUUACAAUUGUCUUCAGGAUAAAAACCCAAGUUCUGGGCUUAGACUGUGAGGUCUCCAACUAUCUACAGCCAAACUACAUUUAUAAUUUCUAAUCCCAUGCUUUCUCCGGCCAAAGUUACAGACCACAUGUAUAUAGUAAGUAGUAUAGACUACUUAGAAAAAUAGUUUUCUUAUCUGAUCCAGUGUAGGCAUUCAAAAAAUAUUUACUGAUGCAAAAAUACUAAAUUUAGAUAUGUUCUAUAUUUUCUCUAAAGUUCUGAUAGCUAUGGGGCUGUUACUCUCUUCAAGAGGUAACCUGCUACAUGGAGAGCAAUUAACCAAGAGCAUCCAGCUGUAGCACUUUAGGAAACUACAACAGCAUUUGAGAAUUCAGAUCACCAUCUUUGUCGGAAGAUCUCUCUGGACUACUCCUACUCCUUCUACUCCUUACCAUUCACAGCUUCUAGAAAGAAUGCAGUGCUACUUACGUGGAGAAGUUAGACUUCUGAUCUUCAGAACUGUAAGCAAAUACAUUUCUGUCAUUUUAAGUCAUUAACUUUGUGCUAAUUUAUCGCAGUAGCCUUAGGAAACUAACACAAUAUGCAUAGUCACCCUUGCCCAGCAUUACUGUGGGAGUCAUUUUCCUAGGAAUGGUAUAAAUAGUUUGGUGCUACUGUUGUUAUAAUUUUGUGGCUGGUUAAUUAUGGAACUCAUUUGUCAUAGAGUG